rnacentral:tRNA from 1 species
GGGGAGAUAGUCAAGUGGCCAACGACAACAGACUGUAAAUCUGUCCUCUUACGAGUUCUCAGGUUCGAAUCCUGAUCUCCCCA